rnacentral:rRNA from 1 species
CCGGUUGAACUCAGAUCACGAAAGACUUUAAUCGUUGAACAAACGAACCCUUAAUAGYGGCUGCACCAUUAGGAUGUCCUGAUCCAACAUCGAGGUCGUAAACCUCCUCGUCGAUAUGGACUCUGAGAGGAGAUUGCGCUGUUAUCCCUAGGGUAACUCGGUUCAUUGAUCGGCGUUGCCGGAUCUUAUUGGUCAGAAAUUCUGUUAAUUAGAGCUGUCGCUCUUGGUUGUGAAUGUGGUACAUUCGGUCCUUGCGGGGGUUUUUUAUUUCUCCGCGGUCGCCCCAACCAAAGACAUUAGGGCAAGGCUCAGUUGAUUCGUGUCCUAUUGUUAAGGAYAUUUAUGCUGAUUUGCUUUAGUGUCUAAAGCUCCAUAGGGUCUUCUCGUCUUAUGUGUUUAUCCCCGCUUCUGCACGGGGAGAUCAAUUUCAUUGACUUGAAAGANGAGACAGUCGAGCCCUCGUUAUGCCAUUCAUACAGGUCCCCAUUUAAAAGACAAGUGAUUGCGCUACCUUCGCACGGUCAAAAUACCGCGGCCGUUAAACAUAUAGUCACAGGGCAGGCGGGACCUCUUAUACUUUCGGUUUARCRRGAGGCGAUGUUUUUGKWAMASMRGCGG